CUUGCAGUUAGAAGCAAAUGUGAGCAAUUAAACUUAGACUUCCAAAGCUGCGAGCUUUGCAUUAAUUAUUGGCUUGUCCAAAAAAAUAAGCCAACCCAAUUUUCAAUUAGUUCUCUUACCCACCGUUAAACCAAAAAACUGGAGUAAUCAGCUAAUUUUUUCGGUGCAACCAUGAUGCACGCCACAUGUUCGCAAAAUUGCAUAUGUGAAAAAAAGAAAUAAUUUAAACAAUAACUCACAGAGAGUUGACCAUCUGGCUCAAACUGGAAGUGGCGGGAGACAGAAUCGGAGCCUUCCAUCCAGUAUACAGGCACUUGAGGU
rnacentral:misc_RNA from 1 species